AGAUUGAACGCUGGCGGCAGGCCUAACACAUGCAAGUCGAGCGGCAGCACGGGUACUUGUACCUGGUGGCGAGCGGCGGACGGGUGAGUAAUGCCUAGGAAUCUGCCUGGUAGUGGGGGAUAACGCUCGGAAACGGACGCUAAUACCGCAUACGUCCUACGGGAGAAAGCAGGGGACCUUCGGGCCUUGCGCUAUCAGAUGAGCCUAGGUCGAUUAGCUAGUUGUGAGUAAUGGCUCACCAAGGCGACGAUCCGUAACUGGUCUGAGAGGAUGAUCAGUCACACUGGAACUGAGACACGGUCCAGACUCCUAUGGGAGGCAGCAGUGGGGAAUAGUUGGACAAUGGGCGCAAGCCUGAUCCAGGUCAAGUGCCGCGUGAGUGAUGAAGCCUUAGGUAGUAAGCGUACUUUACCGAG
rnacentral:rRNA from 1 species